rnacentral:rRNA from 1 species
CAGCCGCCGCGGUAAUACCAGCUCUCCGAGUGGUGUGGAUGUUUAUUGGGCCUAAAGCAUCCGUAGCUGGCUAAGUUAGUCCUUUGUUAAAUCCACCGAAUUAAUCGUUGGGUUGCGAGGGAUACUGCUUGGCUAGGGGACGAGAGAGGCAGACGGUAUUUUCGGGGUAGGGGUGAAAUCCUAUAAUCCCGGGAAGACCACCAGUGGCGAAGGCUGUCUGCUAGAACGCGCCCGACGGUGAGGGAUGAAAGCUGGGGUAGCGAACCGGAUUAGAUACCCGGGUAGUCCCAGCUGUAAACGAUGCAGGCUAGGUGUUUGGACGGCCACGUGCCGUUCUAGUGCCGCAGGGAAGCUGUUAAGCCUGCCGCCUGGGGAGUACGAUCGCAAGAUUGAAACUUAAAGGAAUUGGCGGGGGAGCACCACAAGGGGUGAAGCUUGCGGUUUAAUUGGAGUCAACGCCGGAAAUCUCACCGGGAGCGACAGCAGUGUGAAGGCCAGGCUGAAGACUUUGCCGGAUUAGCUGAGAGGUGGUGCAUGGCC